GCUUAUGUUUGGGUGAUCAACACCCAUAUGCAACACUGCAGCACGCAUGCAAGGAAAGCGGGCACAAUGAUAAAAAUGAAUUAUUUCCAAAGCAAGCGGCACAGUUUCAGGAGGCAGCUGGACUUACGAGUUUGUGAACGCCCACUGAAAGGCUUUCAAGGAAAUUACAUGAGAGGCAAGGAUUUCUCAGCGUGGUACCUCUUCUUGGACCAACUAGGUGGCAAGUUACCUGGUCAUAGAAGGAGAUGAGGUUGGCAAGACAAGACCUGCCCACGAUGAAGAGCGUAUCGCACAUAGACUCCUUGAUGAAUUUUUCCAGCAUUUGCCCUUGGAUUGAAGUUAAGUUGAUUGGCCUAUAGUUGCCCAGGUCCUCCCUCCUCCCCUUCUUGAAGAUGAGCACAACAUUGGCCUUUUUCCAACUUCAGGGACCUCUGCGGAGCACCACGACUGUGGAUGCUGUGUUGGCCUGACCACCUUGUUCUCACUGAAGCUCAGUACAGGAAACAGGACGUCAGAGCCAUUGAAGAGAGCAGGCUGAAUCCUGAAGAGCCUCCGAGAGGUCACCGAUUGUAGCGGCUGUGCUGUGAGAACGACUUGGGGCUGUGGUCGUGCCCAUCUACAGGAAGACAGGUGUUUCAUCGGACACUUGUCUGACUGAAGUUUGCAUCCCAAAGGAAGACUGGACAUGAAGAAAGUCCUUGGGAUCUUCCUUGUCAUGCAGCAUCCCUUGGUGGGGAAGUAUUUUAUCUUGGAGUCUGACAGGUCUGGGAAGCUCUGGGCUGUUGGCCUGCUGGGGAAUAAUAAUGAGUUUCUUUUCUACCGAAGGUUGCAAACAAGCAAGUGCUGAAUUUAUAGACACAAUCCAGAGAUGUGCCUAUUUAGGGCAGUCUUGUUUCUCCGGUGUUGACCCACCACAAUGCAGACCUGGACACAGGCAUGGGUGAUUUGGGCGGCCGCCCAGGGCCUGGGCAGAAAGGGAGCCCAAAAAUUGAAAAAUAAAAUUAUAAAUUGCAAAAAAAAAAAAAGUUUUAAUAUUGCA